GACGAACGCUUGCUGCGUGCCUAAUACAUUCAAGUCGAACUAGAUCGACCGUUUCUUGCACUGGUCAAUCUAGUGUCUAACGGGUGAUUAACACGUGGGGAACCUUCCCAUCAGAGGGGGAUAACAUUCUGAUACGGUUGCUAAAUCCUCAUAGGUCUUCGAACCGCAUUGUUUGUCGUGGAAACGCUGCCCAACCUUCUGCUGAUGGUUUGCCCCGCGUUGCAUUAGCUAGUUGGUUAGGUAACGGCUCACCAAGGCCGUGAUGCAUAGCCGCCCUGCGAGCGUGAUAGGACACACUGGGACGGAGAGCCGGCCCGAACGCCGGCGGGAGGCAGCAGUAGGGAAGCUUCCGGAAUGGACGGAAGUCUGAAGGAGCAACGCCGCGUGAGGGAAGAAGGUUUUCGGAUCUUAAAACUCUGUUGUGAGAGAAGAAUAAGUGCUAGAGUAACAGUUAGCGGCUUGACGGUAUCUAACCAGAAAGCCACGGCUAAAUACGUG
rnacentral:rRNA from 1 species